rnacentral:rRNA from 1 species
GACAGAGGGGGCGAGCGUUGUCCGGAGUGACUGGGCGUACAGCGCGCGCAGGCGGACCCGAACGUGCUAUGUAACAGCCCUGCGCUCACCGCAGGGUGGCCACGGUAGACGACGGGUCUGGAGGCAGGGAGAGGGAUGUGGAAUACCCGGUGGAGCGGUGAAAUGCGUAGAGAUCGGGUGGAACACCAGUGGCGCAGGCGGCAUCCUGGCCCUGACCUGACGCUGAGGCGCGAGAGCGUGGGGAGCAAACGGG